rfam:Gossypium hirsutum cultivar TM-1 chromosome 5, whole genome shotgun sequence
UUUUAAUUUCCAUUCAUUUUCUAUUGUUAAAAAUUGGCAUGUCUGACAGAAUAAUCAAAUUAUGACACAUGGCAUGCCACAUGUACCUUAUACUUACGUAUAGGCAUUAGUUUUUAAUAGUAGAAAUUGAUAAAUUUAUUAGCA